AGUGACAGGUCAUGAAAGAUAAAGCUACAGACCCACUGGAGAUGUGGGCCAGCCGAAGUUUCAACCAGAUGUCGCCAGAGUGGCCAGUCUCCCCCAGGCAAAGCAAAGCAAAGCGAUAGUUCCUGGACAACUCCUUUCGUGGUGGACUUCCUGAGGCCCUCUGCGCCGGCUCCCGGCUCUACAGAGCUUGUUCCUGGGGACCAGUUACUCCAGGCUUUGGAUCUCCCCACCUCAAUAGUUCGCAGGGAAGUUCUCCAUCAUUCCACUGGGGCCAGGCCUUGGGUUCCACUCCAGAAGCCCCGAAGCACCCUUCCUCCUGUCCAGAGUCCUCUCUCCUACCUACUUGGGCUUAGGCUCAGCCCACCUGUGGGCUGGGAGGGGAUGGAAGAGACAGGUGGGCCCCUAGAUGCACUGGCUGGAUUGCAGACAUAUUUAUGCUCCAUUUCUAGUGUCUGGUCCUUCCUGUGGUCCCACUGAUGGGGGAACAGAAAGGAAACAGGAGGGGGCUGGGGUGACAGGCACAGCCCACUAGGCUGCCCUCCUCUGCCUCACCCUCCCUUGCCUGGGCCCCAGCUGAGCCCAUCAUCAGAGGCCUCCAGGAGCUGGGGCCACAGUCUGCGUGGGUCUGCCCCUCCCCUCACCCCAGCCUAGAAGACUCCACCUCUCCCAGGUCCUGGCUGGGAUCCGAAGGCCCCGGGCAAGUGGGGGAAGGGGAGCCACUCCUACUUUCCCAGCAGCUGCUGCUGCCUCUUCCUGUUUUGCUAAAACUUUGGCUCCGGACCCAAGGGGGUGGGGGAAAGUCGCCAGGCGCUCUCGCCCCCCCCAAAGGUCAAACUCAUCCCCCUGGUCCUCUUAGCUAGUUAUUUAUAGCUCCCCAGGCCCUGGCUGAGGAGCUACAUCUCUCCUCCCCCAAAUGUCAGCAGCUGUGGCCAUUGCCCCAGGGAUGCAGCCAGAUGUGCUGAUCACUCCAGAUGCGCAGUGCCAGGAUUUGGGAGCGCAGGCCAGGCCCUUUCUCCUGGACAUUCCCUGCUGCCUGGUUCCUCCUCCACUCUGAGUCAACAAACCUGAGUCCUGGGGGAUGGGGGGACAUCAGGAAGUUCCCACCUAUUUUCUCCACUCCCAUUGCCUGAUCCCAAGACGGGACAGCUCGGGCUAUAGACCCACGUGGAUGUCUUUGCAUAAAUUAGGACAGGACUCAUUUGGAGACUGGAUUUGUAGAAGUCAGCUGCAGUUCAGAGGGACAGAAGGGUCAGGAUGCUGGAUGCUGUCUUCUUACUAACGUCAGCACGGAGAUCCACUCCUGAGAGUCCAGCGUCCAAAGGGCAGGCUCUGCGAUUCUUUUCUUUGGCUACAUCCUGCUCUCCAGGAGAUGAUGAAUUCCCCAGGGAGAGGACUGCAGCUUCCUUUGCCUCUGUGCCAGGAAGUUGCUCAACAAAUAAGAGAUUAUACGUAAUGAAAAAGAGUUGAAGUCAGUGGUGGUCACGUGUGGGUGGAUCCUUCAAGGUUGUAGCAAGGGGAGAAGUCCAAACCCAUCCUAAAAGACACUCCUGGCAAAGAGAGUGUCAGGACCUCCUCAAACGCUUGCCUAGAGAUUCCAAGGCCUGAGAAGGUCCUGCUGCGGCCUGUGGCAAGGCUGAACUCCCGAGCCCACCAGUGGGUGGACCACAGCAUCCCUGCAGGGGCCACUGGAGCACGUAAUUGUGAGCUGGCUACAGAAAGGCAUUUUGCAACUCAGACGAAUUUCUUCUCGCUCACGAUUAGGGUAUGGCCCAGUGGCUGCCUCCCUGACUGUAAUCUCUGCUGGCACAGGCAUCUCCGGGGCUGGGCAGUGGGGGCUGUGGAAGGAGGGCUGACCUAGAAGCCUGGACGCCGGAGUUCUCUGCCCGCUCCUCGCCAGGGAUUAACCAUGGCAUGGCUGGCAGGGAGACUGGGUUCUCAGUUUCCUCAUCUGUAAAAGGAGUGAUGUGAUUAGAUUAGAGCGGCCCAAACCUAACCACACCUUAGGAUUACCUGGGGAGCUUCAGAUUACUAGGUACUCCCUUCACCCCUUGCAUCUGCUGGGGGCUGUGAGAUGGCCCAGGAAUCUGUUUUUCACAGGCUCUUCUACAUGAUUUUUUUUGGGCCACACCCACAGCCUGUGGAAGUUCUGGGGCCAGGGAUCGAACCUGCGACCCUAGCCACUGCAGUGACAAUGCCGGAUUCUUAACCUGCUGAGCCACAGGGAAACUCCUACAGGAUUUUGACAUAAUGUCAAGUAUGGGGGAUCCUACAGACUAUAAAUAUAAAUAGACUGUAAAUAUAAAUCACUUGCAGCUCUUAGGAGAAAAGAUUCUAGUAAAUGGAAUGGCUGUAACAAGAGGCUUUGGUGCUGUGGGAUUUUAUCAGAGGGCAAAUGGUGGGUAGUUUAUUUCAUCAUCAUCAUCACCAUCAAUUACUAUUUUUUCCAGGCCUUUUUUGGCUGCACCUGCAGCAUGCAGAAGCAUGCGGGGCCAGGGAUCAAACCAGCACCCCCGUGGUGACAACACCAGAUCCUUAACCCGCUGCACCACCAGGGAACCCCUCCAGUUUUAUUGAGAUAUAAUUGACCUACAUCACUGUGUAAGGUGUACAGCACAAUUUGAUUUACAUACAUCAGGAAAGGGUUAUCAGACUAAGUUUAGUAAAUAUGUAUCAACUCAUAUAGAUACAAAAUUAAAGAAAUGGAAACACCCUUUUCUUCCUGCGAGCAGAGGACUCGGGAUUGAGGCCCUCGCUUACCUCAAGGCUGGAGCCGGGCUGGGAGAGAAGGGAAGGGAGGAAUGGGCCGUCCCUGUAGGUGGGGCCUCUUGGCACGGGGACCUUUCUCUCUCACUCUCCUGGGUGGAGUUUGGCUGCACGGGCUUUGGCACCAGCCUCUGGAGCUGAGAGAGUGUCUUCCCAUCCGUAUUCCUCCCCCACUUCGGUUUCAGCCCAGAGGACAGCCCCCUUCUCCUCCUCCUGCCCCGACUUCCUCCCCAGGCUCCCUCACCAACCUCAUUCCUAAGCCUCGCUAAUCUGUUUGCCACCCUCUGCUUCCUUGCCUCGCCCUUGCUCAUGCCAUUCUCUCCACCUGGAAUGUCACCCCCGCCCCCCAACACCAAUUCACAUUUCUGGGCUCCUUUGAAACCCAGCUCCAGACUGGCUGACGUCGUUGGGGCUGUGAUCUGCCCAGGUCGCUCCUCUUCGGAGAUAGACUCAUUUAUGCUUGAAAUCACAGAAUCAGAGAACAGCUUUAGACUCAGAAAGAAAUAAGUACAGAUGACCUAAACCAGCUCUCGCAUUCAAUGGACGGAAACCCUGAGGCCCAGAGAGGUCUUGACUUGGCCAAGGUCACACAGUCGUGAGGUUUGCUGGUGGUGGUGGUGGCGGCGAACAGUUGGCUUCACAAGAGGCUUUCAAGUAUCCUACGUCUUUGUUUUAUUUCCUCGACACGUGGUGAUGCCUAUGAGGGCAGAGGUGAUGUUGCUGUUUUAAUUGGUGUUCUUAAGCUCCACGGUGCUGUGUAUGUGCAGGCAACUGUAAUAGUUCUAAAACUCGCAGGGGUGCACAUUUUGCAUAUGAUCUCAGACCAGCCCUGAGCGGUAGGUCACCAAGGCAUUGCUAUCUUACUGAGCAGGAAACUGAGACUUAGAAAGGUGUGACCCAGGAAGUUAAUGGCAGAACCGGGGCCAAAACGCAAGUUCCCUGCCUCCCAGCCUCAGCCCAGGACCCUGACACCCAUGAUGCUGUUCUUCUAGAGCCUUCCUGAGGUUCCCGGCAGGGGACCUAGAGUAGUCAAAGGGGUGGCCUCCGCCGUCUUUCGCCUUCCUUGUGAUUUCUUCACUUUGGGGUUGAGCAGACCUUGCCUCUGGCCUCCUACCCCUCCCCAUCCUGUCCCACCGCGUUCUCCUUGUGUCCCCCCACAGCCUGUUGGCACAUUGACCCAUACGCAUACAUGCUCAGAGCUGCAGGUGUCUAGGGCAACAGACCACAGGGGAAACCACAUCACCUUUGUUGACACUGGAGGGAGGCAGGGGGGCCGGGAAAGAACCUGCUUACGUCUCUCCACCUGCCUCUGUCCCCGCAGUCAUCUCACCUCCCAGCCUGGUGGGUCAUCUGGACUUGACCCAUGGCCCAGCCUCUUCCUGAGGACCCAUCCAAACCUGGCCCGGGAGGAUGUAUCGCCCCUUCUCACAGAUCCUGAAAUCCUGGAGGGAGGUGGGGCGGUCUGCCUAGCUGCACCCCAAAGCCACACCCCCAAUCCUAGCCAGUUUACUGACCUAGCUCCUCUGAUUCCACCUGCGCAGUGCAGCAGACAAAGGUGGAAACCAGGAAUGAGAGGACAUGGCUGGGGGUCGGUAAGGAAGGAAAUUUGACAUCUAGGCCAUCACUCCUACAUCAAAGGGGACCGCUAGGGAGUUCCUGUCGUGGCUCAGCGGUUAAUGAACCCAACUGGCAUCCAUGAGGACGCAGGUUCGGUCCCUGGCCUCGCUCUGUGGGUUAAGGAUCAGGUGUUGCCGUGAGCUGUGGUUUAGGCCGGUGGCUACAGCUCCAAUUAGACCCCUAGUCUGGGAACCUCCACACGCCGCAGGUGCGGCCCUAAAAAGACAAAAAGACACCAAAAAAAGGUGGAGGGGGGACCUCUAGUAACCAGGCUACACGGGAUCUGUGGUGUUUGGACCUGCUGAAAGAAGCUGCACAGGCUCUGAAUCAGGCCCAUUUGGGAUUAAGUCACUUGCUGGCUCUGUGGCCUUGGGCAAAUCAUUUUGUGUUUCUGAGCUUUAGUUUGCUAACUAAAACAAUGGGGAUAAUAAUGAGAUAUAAGUGAAAGGUCCUGGAACAGCACAGGAUACCAAGGAGACGCUCAAUAAAUCCUAAUUACCCUCCCUCCCUCCUUUCCUUCCACUUGUUGCAUCUGGCUCCAUGAAACCCUUUAUUUGGAAUUGGAGCUCUACCUCCCCUAUUUACGUGCAAGUCCAAACCCUGAGCAUUGGCAUCUGAUCCCAGGUUCAGAAACAGGAAUGCACAUCCCCACAGCCCAAGGAAGUGGCUGUCCCUCGGAGCGUGCACCCAGGCCAAGGACGAACACCUUCUGAUCGGCCUUGUGGAGAGGGUGUGAGAAGUCCAGGUUAGGAAAGGGCUUGUGGCUUCAGACACCACAUCGAGAAAGCGGGUCAGGAAUGGUCUCAGAGGCCUGCGGUUUAGACCGAUGCCUUCGGAUGGAGCUUUGAACCCUGGCACAAGGUGGGCGCCCAAUAACACUUGUUGAAUGAACGCAUGGCCUCAGCACUUACUAGUUGUGUAACGUUGGUCAUGUUUCUCAACUUUUAUGAGUCGCACUUUAAUCACAAACAUAACAAGGAUUACUGCUAAGAAUAAAUGAUCUCAUGUUUGCCAGGGGGCUGGCAUAGGGCUGCUGCAUGGCACACAGUCAGUAAAUGGUAGCUAAGUAAGGGGAUGUGAGAUAAACGAGAAAGAGAAGGUCAAAGAGGCUCAGAACCCCAAAGCAAGCGGAAGGUGGCUGCCUUCAGGCUUCGUACUGGCCAGAGACUCCAGGAAGACUCUGGGGAGCCAAGGCAGGUCCUGUGGGGCUAAUCUCUUCUGCUAGGUGCUUAGCUGAGCAGUCUGUGAGAGGCCUGGACUCAAGAGC
rnacentral:lncRNA from 1 species